UUGGUACACCUCCUCCUGUCGCAUUACCCUUGUGUUGUGUCUGUCAGCUAGUUGCUUCUUACAAAACAUCCCGAAUUAAAAUAUGAAAUUUUGUCUUUUAAUUGUUGUUGUCUCAGGAAGGACCAUCCGUGAAUAAUCUGCUUCACCUCUGUAUGUUGGGGAUGUGACCCUCUCUCACAUUAUGAGAGCAGCCAUUCAUGUGAUCAUGACAGUCCACCCCAUCCUGAUCCUGCUGCCCAUCCUGGGGUUCCGUGUGCUUCCGUUUGCAUCGGCCCAUUUGGAGAAUAGCCUCAGGAUAGUGGCUAAUCUGACUGUGGAAAACCCAGGGGAAUGUGAUGUGAAAUUGUAUCACGUCUUAUCCUUGAAGGACGUGCGCUUUCAAAGGGGGCCAUGUGUUUCACAUUUAAGAUGAAAGGGAGUCUUGGGCCUGGCUGUUCUGCUUACGAGUCAGGCUCUGCUUAAGCAGGCCGUACCCUUCUCCAGUCUUCGUCAAGACUUGCUCCUUUUAAAUUAAAUCACUUUGGUUUUUUCCCCUCUUGCUUUGGCCACACACGUUGCACUUGACUAUCUCACCACCUCUGUAAACACGCAGACAGCAGAAAUGACCCCGGGCCACAUUGGCUUUGUGUUCUUGGAUAGAGUGGUUGGCCCUGCCUCUUCUCAUCCACACUCCACCAGCCCCCACCCAAUGACACACACACACACACGUACACUGUCAGUAUUGAGUUUCUCUGUUGCUCACAUCGCUGUUGUGUUAACUGAAUGGAGAUCGAAAGCAAGGUCAGAAUCGCCACCGCCAUCUGGAACUCUGAAAUGUUUGGAAUGAAGGGGGUGCUAUAAAUACAUAAGCAUUCCACAUUCCAGUGCGGGGAACGGUGUGUUUUUGACACGUCAAAGCCCAAACAUACUAUAGGACGACCUGUGGUGACUGCAAAAGGGGGUUGAAAUUAGGCCAGACUCUCUUUGGUUUCACACCGGCCUCCGUUUGCCGCCUCCACCUUCUGCGGAACAAUUCACCCAAAAAUUUAAAUUCUGUCACCCUCAUGUUGUUCCAAACCCAUAUGACUUUAUACCUUCUGUGGAACACAAAUGGAGAUGUUAGGCAGUAUGUUAGUCUCAGACGCUAUUCACUUUCACUGCAUCUUUUAUCCCAAAAAUUAAAGUAAAUGGUAACUGAGGCCUAACAUCUCCUUUUGUGUUCCAUGGAAGGAAAAAAAUCAGGUUUGGAACAACACCGGGUGAGUGAAUGAUGACAGAAAUUUCACUUUUGGGGAACUAUUCCUUUAAAGCCUAUAUUCGAUGCAAAGAAAGUUAUUAUUAGAAAGGAGUUCCUGUGGUCCUUAAAAAGAGAGUACCGGUAGUAAGAUUUUUUUUUUUUCCUCUCAGGACUAAGAAAAAUAACAAAAAUCAAAGUAAUCUGUAAAUAUCUGAAAUGUCCACGUUUCAUACGUUCAAUUUAUCCUUGUCAAUUUUACUUUUUCUCUAUUCUAGUGGUCAAUGGCCAAUACGAUAUCUAGAGAGCAAACAAAUCAGAUGUAUACAACAUUUGUAAAAAAAAAAAAAAAUAAGUGAAACAAACACUUAUUUACUCAAAUUUGCAUAAACUUGAAGAAAAAAAACCCAUGAAAACAAAGUGUUGACUAUCCAGUGACAAAUCUAUAAGGAGAUUUUUGAACUGACACAAGGGAAAGUUAACACUUCUGUUAACUGGCCAAGCGAACGCAUCAUGAAUCUCAAAAUGGCCAGAUACCAGCCGAUUAAUCGGCCUAGCCGAUAUAUAUAUCAGUCUAUCACUAUUCUUUACAUAUUAAACCAGUUAUGAACAUCUUGUACGUUUGCAUCUUUGCCUUUGCAUCAAAUACCUUUUAACUUUCUCCUGAACGGCUUCAAACAGUUAGAGAAAUAUUUAACAAGAAAAAAUGCAUGCAAGCCAAUGAAGCUGGCCUUUCGAUUUUGUUUGUCAUCGCUGAUCAAGAGUUGAUUCAACAAGCAUUUUACAUUUCAAAAAGGAUGAUUAUUGAUUCACCUGGAGCUUUUAAAUGCUGAAUAACUGCAUGAUUGCUGACUAGCUCAAUCCAAAAAAGAUAAUUCUGCAGUGCCAGCGCAAACACACCGGCCCCGCAUCCCGUUAUGGGCCCUGCCGGUCCUGCUGUGCUGAAGCCAUCUGGUUAAGUAAUCAGGGGAAGUGGGAAUAUGGAAAAAUGGAGAGAGUGGAGACGGAUGUGGAGGUUGAGGUGUGCUGUACCUAACUCACACAUGGUUGCUGGGAAAGGAUCAAAGAAAGGUACGGUGAGGCCUGUUUUUCUUCCCAGAUGCGGUUCGUUCCCGAAGAAGGGAGAGCGCAGGAUAUGCAGUUCGACUUCCAAGUAAUGAGCAUUCGGGGAUCAUCUCUGGCCCAAUGAAAACAAGCGUGGUUGUUGAGUCACAGAUUGCACUGUUGGUUUUAUUUCACUUUUUAGAGAUGGACUGUAAAAUAUAUUCGGCCUUGACAGUUUGAAAACAGUCUUUACGAACUUGAUUAAAUAGUUUGGGUUAUUUGUCCUCUUGAAUUUGGAGUUAAGUAGCACACAUUGUCAGGUUUUUACAAUUUGAUUAUUUAUGCGUUGGGAGUUUUGAUGAUGGUUCAGGAGUUUUAGUGCUGGAUAUUCAAAGCAGUAGAGCAGAUUUAGACCCAUAAGCAAAAAUGGUUCAUGGGCAUUUGCCUCCACUUCCUCUCUUUACACAAGAAAGAACUUUUGUAUUUUUGGUCUUGAUGACCUCCAAUGCUUCAAACAAGGUUUAUAUUUUAAGAAAUGUGACUUGUUUUUUUCUUCAUUUUCAGGUCAUCCUCAUGAAUCCUGUACAAAAGCCCUCCUUCAUGAAGGAAAAUGUUUUCUGUUUAGUUGUCUGCCUAUUGCCCAGAACUCUUCUUGUGAAAAUAUCACGAUAAUACAGGAACUACUGACAAAUCAAGAGUUCGUCUAUGUAGACAGUAAUCAGCCUUCUCUAAACGGCUCUUUUACUAAUACCACAGAACAAUCAACACCUACAGCUAACGUCUCGGCCUCCAGCACUUCCGCUUCCACAAAUCCGCCUAGUAUACAAAACCAGUCAACUACUAUUGUGAUCAUCAAACUGCAGACAACCCCAUCAGACCAAGCUUUUACUGAACCAGCAGUUUCUCCAGCAUUUGCCAUACCUGCCACCAUUCCAACAAGAACAGCCACAACAACUACAAACACAACAAAAACCUCCACGACAACCAAACCACCCACAACCACAACUAAACCCUCUACAACAACAUCUAAUAUAACCACCACUCCAACAGUUGCACAAACUCCAAAACAUCUUUCUUUACCUUCACCAUCAGGGACCAAAACAUCCUCCAGCGUCUCACCAUUAGUGCCUACAAUACCUCCAUCCACCACUUCCACAAAACUACCCCAACUGCCUCCUAUUCCAACAUCCUCAGAAGAUAAGCCAUUGCCAACCACACUAACAACCUCAACGAGCCCCACAAUAGUGGCAUCCACACUGCCUAAGGACAUUCCCAAAGGGGACCAAGAUAGAACUGACAAAGCCAUAGUAGAAGUGGCUGGAGACCCUCUGAGCAGUCACCUGUUUAACACCAGCUCUCUGCUGGCUGUUCUACUUUUUGGCCUCCUUUUAUUUGUGGUCAUGGUCACACUGUUUCUCAAACAAGCGUAUGAGAGUUACAGGCGAAAAGACUACACUCAGGUAGACUAUCUCAUCAAUGGAAUGUACUCCGAUUCGGGGGUCUGAUGAGGUGGUUAAUGUUUCAGUAUCAAAUUGGUUUUUUUUUUGUUUUCCAGGAUUUUGAAGCACAUUGACAUUGAGGCCCACAGACUUUAGUCAGGGUAGACACCAUAUUUAAUUUGACACAAAUGAAAUUAAGGCUCUAUGGGACAGAUGUACAGUCCAAUUAAUGGUUUGUAUUGUUGUACAUAUAAUUUUCACAACCCAUGUUCACCCGAAGGUGUAUUUUCAAUGUUGCGUUGGUUGAAUGUUGGACACCAAGGUAUACAACAAUACAAUCCAUUGAACCAACUGUAUCUAUCCGUCACAGCCUCCUUUUCAGUUGCAUUAAAUUAAAUAUGGAUAUACCUUGACUAAUGCCCAUUGUUAUGCUGAAAAUUAGAAGCACUCACAUUUGAAAUGCUUUAAAAGCCCUGUACCACCUCAUUAUUUAACUCAAGCUGGUGCUCAAAAAAAAAAAAAUGUGUUAAAUUGGUAUGACAUGUAUCUUUUAUUUCUAUGCAGAUUAAGCUUCCAUGUAAUUCCUUGGCACAUGGGGCUAAAGCCUUAGUAUAAACCUAGCCCUUAUCCUUCGUUCAACGAAUGUCAUUACGAGGGAUUCAUAGUGCAAUAUUUGGAAACCUUUGUCUUGGUCUAAUAUGUUCAGUGUUUCAUCUGCAGCUAAUGAGUUUGGCUGCAAUAAUUGCCUUUAUGUUUGUCAGAACAGUUCAGGAACAUUUGAAGAAUUGUUUAUGAAUUAACGCCUUUGAAUAGUUUUUUUGUUUUGUGUGGAGAUAGAGAAUAUUUGUCAAACCAGGUAUUGUGGCACUGAAGACCAUGACUGUCAAGCCAAGGGAAUAACCCAGCCAUUGUGUAUUUAGUGUCUGGAACAAAGAAAAGAUUAUGAUAUUAGUGUUUGAGAUCAAAGGAAGGGAUGGGGGUAUGAUAGUUUGAUAUGUGCCAAAUUGUUUUUGUAAGUCUUAAUAGAUGCACUGUAUAAAAAAUGUAAAAAAGAUAUAUAAAAAUAAAGAAAAUAUACUUUGUAAGAAAAGCA